rnacentral:rRNA from 1 species
UCGAAUCCCCUAGGGGACGCCACUUGCUGGUUCGUGAGUGAAAGACGCGUGCCGAUGUAUCUCAAAACUCAUCUUCGGGUGACGUUUGAGAUAUUUGCUCUUUAAAAAUCUGGAUCAAGCUGAAAAUUGAAACGACACACNNNNNNNNNNNNNNNNNNNNNNNNNNNNNNNNNNNNNNNNNCACUAUCGUUAACUGAAUACAUAGGUUAACGAGGCGAACCGGGGGAACUGAAACAUCUAAGUACCCCGAGGAAAAGAAAUCAACCGAGAUUCCCCCAGUAGCGGCGAGCGAACGGGGAGCAGCCCAGAGUCUGAAUCAGCUUGUGUGUUAGUGGAACGGUCUGGAAAGUCCGACGGUACAGGGUGAUAGUCCCGUACACCAAAAUGCACAGGCUGUGAACUCGAAGAGUAGGGCGGGACACGUGGUAUCCUGUCUGAAUAUGGGGGGACCAUCCUCCAAGGCUAAAUACUCCUGACUGACCGAUAGUGAACCAGUACCGUGAGGGAAAGGCGAAAAGAACCCCGGCGAGGGGAGUGAAAAAGAACCUGAAACCGUGUACGUACAAGCAGUGGGAGCACCUUCGGGUGUGACUGCGUACCUUUUGUAUAAUGGGUCAGCGACUUAUAUUCUGUAGCAAGGUUAACCGUAUAGGGGAGCCGCAGGGAAACCGAGUCUUAACUGGGCGUUAAGUUGCAGGGUAUAGACCCGAAACCCGGUGAUCUAGCCAUGGGCAGGUUGAAGGUUGGGUAACACUAACUGGAGGACCGAACCGACUAAUGUUGAAAAAUUAGCGGAUGACUUGUGGCUGGGGGUGAAAGGCCAAUCAAACCGGGAGAUAGCUGGUUCUCCCCGAAAGCUAUUUAGGUAGCGCCUCGUGAAUUCAUCUUCGGGGGUAGAGCACUGUUUCGGCUAGGGGGUCAUCCCGACUUACCAACCCGAUGCAAACUACGAAUACCGAAGAAUGUUAUCACGGGAGACACACGGCGGGUGCUAACGUCCGUCGUGAAGAGGGAAACAACCCAGACCGCCAGCUAAGGUCCCAAAGUCAUGGUUAAGUGGGAAACGAUGUGGGAAGGCACAGACAGCCAGGAUGUUGGCUUAGAAGCAGCCAUCAUUUAAAGAAAGCGUAAUAGCUCACUGGUCGAGUCGGCCUGCGCGGAAGAUGUAACGGGGCUAAACCAUGCACCGAAGCUGCGGCAGCGACACUAUGUGUUGUUGGGUAGGGGAGCGUUCUGUAAGCCUGCGAAGGUGACCUGUGAGGGUUGCUGGAGGUAUCAGAAGUGCGAAUGCUGACAUAAGUAACGAUAAAGCGGGUGAAAAGCCCGCUCGCCGGAAGACCAAGGGUUCCUGUCCAACGUUAAUCGGGGCAGGGUGAGUCGACCCCUAAGGCGAGGCCGAAAGGCGUAGUCGAUGGGAAACAGGUUAAUAUUCCUGUACUUGGUGUUACUGCGAAGGGGGGACGGAGAAGGCUAUGUUAGCCGGGCGACGGUUGUCCCGGUUUAAGCAUGUAGGCUGGUUGUCCAGGCAAAUCCGGAUAAUCAAGGCUGAGGUGUGAUGACGAGGCACUACGGUGCUGAAGUAACAAAUGCCCUGCUUCCAGGAAAAGCCUCUAAGCAUCAGGUAACAUCAAAUCGUACCCCAAACCGACACAGGUGGUCAGGUAGAGAAUACCAAGGCGCUUGAGAGAACUCGGGUGAAGGAACUAGGCAAAAUGGUGCCGUAACUUCGGGAGAAGGCACGCUGGUGUGUAGGUGAAGUCCCUGCGGAUGGAGCUGAGACCAGUCGAAGAUACCAGCUGGCUGCAACUGUUUAUUAAAAACACAGCACUGUGCAAACACGAAAGUGGACGUAUACGGUGUGACGCCUGCCCGGUGCCGGAAGGUUAAUUGAUGGGGUUAUCCGUAAGGAGAAGCUCUUGAUCGAAGCCCCGGUAAACGGCGGCCGUAACUAUAACGGUCCUAAGGUAGCGAAAUUCCUUGUCGGGUAAGUUCCGACCUGCACGAAUGGCGUAAUGAUGGCCAGGCUGUCUCCACCCGAGACUCAGUGAAAUUGAACUCGCUGUGAAGAUGCAGUGUACCCGCGGCAAGACGGAAAGACCCCGUGAACCUUUACUAUAGCUUGACACUGAACAUUGAGCCUUGAUGUGUAGGAUAGGUGGGAGGCUUUGAAGCGUGGACGCCAGUCUGCGUGGAGCCAACCUUGAAAUACCACCCUUUAAUGUUUGAUGUUCUAACGUUGGCCCCUUAUCGGGGUUGCGGACAGUGUCUGGUGGGUAGUUUGACUGGGGCGGUCUCCUCCCAAAGCGUAACGGAGGAGCACGAAGGUUAGCUAAUCCUGGUCGGACAUCAGGAGGUUAGUGCAAUGGCAUAAGCUAGCUUGACUGCGAGCGUGACGGCGCGAGCAGGUGCGAAAGCAGGUCAUAGUGAUCCGGUGGUUCUGAAUGGAAGGGCCAUCGCUCAACGGAUAAAAGGUACUCCGGGGAUAACAGGCUGAUACCGCCCAAGAGUUCAUAUCGACGGCGGUGUUUGGCACCUCGAUGUCGGCUCAUCACAUCCUGGGGCUGAAGUAGGUCCCAAGGGUAUGGCUGUUCGCCAUUUAAAGUGGUACGCGAGCUGGGUUUAGAACGUCGUGAGACAGUUCGGUCCCUAUCUGCCGUGGGCGCUGGAGAAUUGAGGGGGGCUGCUCCUAGUACGAGAGGACCGGAGUGGACGCAUCACUGGUGUUCGGGUUGUCAUGCCAAUGGCACUGCCCGGUAGCUAAAUGCGGAAGAGAUAAGUGCUGAAAGCAUCUAAGCACGAAACUUGCCCCGAGAUGAGUUCUCCCUGAGACUUUAAGUCUCCUGAAGGAACGUUAAAGACGAUGACGUUGAUAGGCCGGGUGUGUAAGCGCAGCGAUGCGUUGAGCUAACCGGUACUAAUGAACCGUGAGGCUUAACCUU